GGGCGGCGGGGGCUUAAAUGCAAGUCGAACGAUGAAGCCCAGCUUGCUGGGUGGAAGAGUGGCGAACGGGUGAGUAACACGUGAGUAACCUGCCCCUGACUCUGGGAUAAGCGCUGGAAACGGUGUCUAAUACUGGAUAUGACCUAUCACCGCAUGGUGUGUGGGUGGAAAGAUUUAUCGGUUAGGGAUGGACUCACGGCCUAUCAGCUUGUUGGUGAGGUAAUGGCUCACCAAGGCGACGACGGGUAGCCGGCCUGAGAGGGUGACCGGCCACACUGGGACUGAGACACGGCCCAGACUCCUACGGGAGGCAGCAGUGGGGAAUAUUGCACAAUGGGCGCAAGCCUGAUGCAGCAACGCCGCGUGAGGGAUGACGGCCUUCGGGUUGUAAACCUCUUUUAGUAGGGAAGAAGCGAAAGUGACGGUACCUGCAGAAAAAGCACCGGCUAACUACGUGCCAGCAGCCGCGGUAAUACGUAGGGUGCAAGCGUUGUCCGGAAUUAUUGGGCGUAAAGAGCUCGUAGGCGGCUUGUCGCGUCUGCUGUGAAAUCCCGGGGCUCAACCCCGGGCCUGCAGUGGGUACGGGCAGGCUAGAGUGCGGUAGGGGAGAUUGGAAUUCCUGGUGUAGCGGUGGAAUGCGCAGAUAUCAGGAGGAACACCGAUGGCGAAGGCAGAUCUCUGGGCCGCUACUGACGCUGAGGAGCGAAAGCAUGGGGAGCGAACAGGAUUAGAUACCCUGGUAGUCCAUGCCGUAAACGUUGGGAACUAGAUGUAGGGCCUGUUCCACGGGUUCUGUGUCGUAGCUAACGCAUUAAGUUCCCCGCCUGGGGAGUACGGCCGCAAGGCUAAAACUCAAAGGAAUUGACGGGGGCCCGCACAAGCGGCGGAGCAUGCGGAUUAAUUCGAUGCAACGCGAAGAACCUUACCAAGGCUUGACAUAUACAAAAACGCUGUAGAGAUACAGAACUCUUUGGACACUCGUAUACAGGUGGUGCAUGGUUGUCGUCAGCUCGUGUCGUGAGAUGUUCGGUUAAUUCCGGCAACGAGCGCAACCCUCGUCCUAUGUUGCCAGCACGUUAUGGUGGGAACUCAUGGGAUACUGCCGUGGUCAACCCGGAGAAGGUGGGGAUGACGUCAAUCACAUGCCCCUUAUGUCUUGGGCUUCCCGCUGCUACAAUGGCCGAUCCAUG
rnacentral:rRNA from 1 species